GGCGCUGUAGUGUAGUGCUAUCGCUCGACUCAGCUGAUUGACGAUUGGGUAAUCCAGAUAUCGUUCUCGCGACCCAGGUUCGAGCCCUGGCAGUGCCU